UGGGGAAUCUUGCGCAAUGGGCGAAAGCCUGACGCAGCCAUGCCGCGUGUAUGAUGAAGGUCUUAGGAUUGUAAAAUACUUUCACCGGGGAAGAUAAUGACGGUACCCGGAGAAGAAGCCCCGGCUAACUUCGUGCCAGCAGCCGCGGUAAUACGAAGGGGGCUAGCGUUGCUCGGAAUUACUGGGCGUAAAGGGCGCGUAGGCGGACAGUUAAGUCAGAGGUGAAAGCCCAGGGCUCAACCUUGGAAUUGCCUUUGAUACUGGCUGUCUUGAGUUCGGGAGAGGUGAGUGGAAUGCCGAGUGUAGAGGUGAAAUUCGUAGAUAUUCGGCGGAACACCAGUGGCGAAGGCGACUCACUGGCCCGAUACUGACGCUGAGGCGCGAAAGCGUGGGGAGCAAA
rnacentral:rRNA from 1 species